AUUGAACGCUGGCGGCAUGCUUUACACAUGCAAGUCGAACGGCAGCGGGGUAGUGCUUGCACCACUGCCGGCGAGUGGCGAACGGGUGAGUAAUAUAUCGGAACGUACCGAGUAAUGGGGGAUAACCAAUCGAAAGAUUGGCUAAUACCGCAUACGUCCUGAGGGAGAAAGCGGGGGAUCGCAAGACCUCGCGUUAUUCGAGCGGCCGAUAACUGAUUAGCUAGUUGGUGGGGUAAAGGCCUACCAAGGCGACGAUCAGUAGCGGGUCUGAGAGGACGAUCCGCCACACUGGGACUGAGACACGGCCCAGACUCCUACGGGAGGCAGCAGUGGGGAAUUUUGGACAAUGGGGGCAACCCUGAUCCAGCCAUGCCGCGUGUAUGAAGAAGGCCUUCGGGUUGUAAAGUACUUUUGUUAGGGAAGAAAAGGGAAGUGCUAAUACCACUUUUUGCUGACGGUACCUAAAGAAUAAGCACCGGCUAACUACGUG
rnacentral:rRNA from 1 species